CCUACCCUUCAAACUUCUGUCGCCCAGCUCCCUUCCGGCAGAAAGACCCAGGGACGAGAGUGUGAAGUCAGGCCUUACAGGAGCAAGAAGAAAGCCGUCCAAAGCCAGCUGGUCUGGCUUUGAGGAAUGCAAGGGAGAUAGAAAGCAAAAGAGAGAAAGAGUGAACGUGAGAGAGGAAGGCAGACAGAGAACAAGAGAGAAAAUUCAAGUAAUACCAGGGAAAUUAAGAAAGUAAGAGUGGCACAAAGAUACACGAGGAAGGCCUUAGCAGCAGGUUCUGUGAAGGUAAUCGAUCAUCGCAAGAAACAGGGCAUUUUACCCGAGCAGGAGAAAGCACCAGGAAGCUCCAAGUAGAGAGAAGCAUUGAAAGCAAAGGAAGAAAGAACGUAAAUAAGACUUGAGCUGGAUAUUUUGGGUCCAGGACCGAGGAUUGCGCUGCUUCGUUUGUUAGGAUCGUGGUGUGGACACCUGAAGAAAAAGAAGCAGAAAGAAAGCGAGUGAGAGACAAAGACUCGAGAAGAAAGAGUGAAGUACAAUGUGCUAGGGGAGUGAAGGCAGACAAACUCUCGUGUUUUUCUGAUAUUCUCGGGGUGUCAGAGAGACCAAGCAGGACGCCAAGAUGGGACGGAAGAAGAUACAGAUCACACGGAUCAUGGAUGAGAGGAACCGGCAGGUCAGUAGCUCCUU